UACGUAGGGUGCGAGCGUUAAUCGGAAUUACUGGGCGUAAAGCGUGCGCAGGCGGUUCGUUGUGUCGGCGGUGAAAGCCCCGGGCUCAACCUGGGAAUGGCGAUGGAGACUGCAAGGCUUGAAUCUGGCAGAGGGGGGUAGAAUUCCACGUGUAGCAGUGAAAUGCGUAGAGAUGUGGAGGAACACCGAUGGCGAAGGCAGCCCCCUGGGUCAAGAUUGACGCUCAUGCACGAAAGCGUGGGGAGCAAACAGG
rnacentral:rRNA from 1 species